AACGAACGCUGGCGGCAGGCCUAACACAUGCAAGUCGAGCGAGACCUUCGGGUCUAGCGGCGGACGGGUGAGUAACGCGUGGGAACGUGCCCUUUGGUUCGGAAUAGCCCCGGGAAACUGGGAGUAAUACCGGAUAAGCCCUACGGGGGAAAGAUUUAUCGCCAAAGGAUCGGCCCGCGUUGGAUUAGGUAGUUGGUGGGGUAAUGGCCUACCAAGCCAACGAUCCAUAGCUGGUUUGAGAGGAUGAUCAGCCACACUGGGACUGAGGCACGGCCCAGACUCCUACGGGAGGCAGCAGUGGGGAAUCUUAGACAAUGGGGGAAACCCUGAUCUAGCCAUGCCGCGUGAGCGAUGAAGGCCUUAGGGUUGUAAAGCUCUUUCAGUGGGGAAGAUAAUGACUGUACCCACAGAAGAAGCCCCGGCUAACUCCGUGCCAGCCGCCGCAGUAACAC
rnacentral:rRNA from 1 species